rnacentral:rRNA from 1 species
GAUGAACGCUGGCGGCGUGCCUAAUACAUGCAAGUCGAACGAAACUUCUUUAUCACCGAGUGCUUGCACUCACCGAUAAAGAGUUGAGUGGCGAACGGGUGAGUAACACGUGGGCAACCUGCCCAAAAGAGGGGGAUAACACUUGGAAACAGGUGCUAAUACCGCAUAACCAUAGUUACCGCAUGGUAACUAUGUAAAAGGUGGCUAUACUACCGCUUUUGGAUGGGCCCGCGGCGCAUUAGCUAGUUGGUAGGGUAAAGGCUUACCAAGGCAAUGAUGCGUAGCCGAAUUGAGAGGUUGAUCGGCCACAUUGGGACUGAGACACGGCCCAAACUCCUACGGGAGGCAGCAGUAGGGAAUCUUCCACAAUGGGCAAAAGCCUGAUGGAGCAACGCCGCGUGGGUGAAGAAGGUCUUCGGAUCGUAAAACCCUGUUGUUAGAGAAGAAAGUGCGUGAGAGUAACUGUUCACGUUUCGACGGUAUCUAACCGGAAAGCCACGGCUAACUACGUG